AUAUUUUCUUGAGCAAAAUUACCUAGGAAAAUAAGCAAAAAAAUCUGCCAGUGAUGUGCAUUGAUUGGUGUAAUAUUCCUCAUCUUAUGAUUUCAGAUGGUCUGCAAUGCUGACUGUGUGAUCAGCAAUGUUGUGGCAAAAUGGCCUGGCUCAGUCCAUGACUCCAGAAUCUUUCGGGCCUCUGAAAUCUAUCAGUGCCUAUCACAAGGUGAAUUCUCUGGUGUGUUGCUGGGAGACAGGGGUAUGGCUGCCAGCCUUUUCUCCUGACACCUUUCACAGACCCCCAGGAAGCACAGCAGGCCUACAACCAUGCCCAUGCCAGGACCAGGGCCAGAGUUGAAAUGACCUUUGGCCUCCUGAAGGCACGCUUUCACUGCCUUCACAAAUUAAGGGUCAGCCCUGUUAGGGCAUGUGAUAUUACUGUGGCUUGUGCUGUCCUCCACAAUGUGGCCUGCCUGAGGAAGGAGAGGGCCCCCAGAGUGCCACCAGCCAUGGACUGGGACAAUCCGGCAAUCUUCCCUGAUGACGACAGUGGUCGGCUGCUGAGGGACCAAUAUGUGUUGAAUUAUUUUAGUUAGUAUGUGUGCUUUCAAUUUUGGUUAAAUAUGUCCUGCGGUGGCAGAGGAAUUUGGUUUUUUUUGGGUUUGUUUUUUUACGAAUUUGGCCUCUUAUGAUGUUUGUGCGGUAUACUGUGUGUAAUACAAGGCUGCAGGGAGGCUACUGCAUCCAUUCAUUUGUCUGUUCAGUUGAUGUGUAUGGAUUUGUCCUGCAUUUAUUUUAGUGUGCAGACAUGCAGGGUGUGUUAUAUACAGACCUUUGAAUGUGUAUGUAUCAUUUUGUAUAAUAUGCUUGGAUUCUGUGCUUUCCAUCUUGUAGUGUCACUGUGACUUCAGUUUCGAAAGGAGCUGAUGGUUUACCUGCUUUGUUUUGUCCUUAUUCAAUAAAGGAACAUAAUGUUA